rnacentral:tmRNA from 1 species
GGGGGCGAUAUGGGUUCGACUUGAGAAGCUUAGCGAAAGAAAGCAUGCCAAGGUUGGUCGGUUGGCCUUGUCCCGAAAGGGACCCCGAGCGUAAGCGAGGGGUAAAAAGCCGACUACAAUGAUAAGUGCGGAUACAAUACGCGCUGAAGUCAUGGAAACAAUCCCUGUUAACGCAGGGUUUGUCUCUAUGAUGCCGUUAGCCGCCUAAUUGCGGCUACCGUCAGCCGGGCUUGCCUACGAGCCCGGAUCUGGCGUAAUUGGUAGGCUGGCUCUGUAGUUUUAGCUUUUAGGCUACAGAGUGAGACGUCUAAAAGAUAUCCUGUUUUAAAUUGCGCCUGCGCAAGCUAAAACAGGAGAAAUUAAAACGCGGGAUAAGCAUGUAGCGUUCUUCGUUAAACGCUCAGGGACGAGGGUUCGAUUCCCUCCGCCUCCACCA